rnacentral:lncRNA from 1 species
GCUCAUGUGGGCUUGCCUGCUUCUCUCUGCAGCUCUUGUGGCUGCAUCUUGUUUUCUGUAGUCCCAUGAGCUCCGAUGAGCAGGAAGGACCUCUUUGAUCUGUGAGGACUGGGGAGCAGGCUAAGUUCCCUGGGCACCCAUGUCCCGAGCACACUUGUAAGAGGCUGGACUUGGUCUUGGUCUUGGGGAGUAAGGCUUUGGAUCAUUCAGAAUGAGGCAGCAUUUGACAUCAAAGUGGUCACCUCCACAGCCGGUUUGUCCUGCUUAAUACUCAGAAGGAAGCAGAGGGACCAUCAGCCACCCGCAGAGAGCCUAUGGUCUACCUCCUAUGAAAGAAUGCACGAGCAGGUGAGGAGUCCUGACGAGAGUUCAGCGAGACAACUGGAGUCCAGAAGAUCUGGGGUCCAUAUCAGUGGCCUGGGCUGAGUUGGGAGACCUGGAAGAACUAAGAAGGAGACAAGGAACAUCAGUACACCACCUCUCACACUAGAGAUGCUCCACCUCCAACAUACUCAGCUGACUCUGCUGACUCCCUGGAUCUUCCUGAGCUGAUCCAGCCAGCUAAAGCACUUCCAUGUUCUCUGGGGUCUCAUUUUACCACCACUGAGGAAUCCUGGAAGGUUUCACCACGCCAGGUGAGUAGACAAGUUCCUGGGUCCUCCUUCAGGGACCCUCUCUCUUCACAGUUAAGAAAGAUUUGGUGUCCCCUCUAGUGGGUAUACAAAAAGACCACAACCACAAAUAAGCCAGACCAGCCCUUGCCGGGACCCACGUACUCCUGGGCAGCAUGUAAAGAGCUGAGUAAUUUGGCCUCACCACUUAAAAAUAAUGUCAGUUAUUCUUUUAAAAAUAUCCUCUUCCAUGAUUCAAAAAUAAAACAUAGUUUUGUUCGGUCUUAUUCACACAAAACCAUUUCUUCGGUUGGAAAAAAACCCGAAACAAAACAAAACUAAGACUAAAUAGUUUCAGCCAAAACACUUUCAGAAA